UGGGUGGAUUAGUGGCGAACGGGUGAGUAACACGUGAGUAACCUGCCCCUGACUCUGGGAUAAGCGUUGGAAACGACGUCUAAUACUGGAUAUGACUGCCGGCCGCAUGGUCUGGUGGUGGAAAGAUUUUUUGGUUGGGGAUGGACUCGCGGCCUAUCAGCUUGUUGGUGAGGUAAUGGCUCACCAAGGCGACGACGGGUAGCCGGCCUGAGAGGGUGACCGGCCACACUGGGACUGAGACACGGCCCAGACUCCUACGGGAGGCAGCAGUGGGGAAUAUUGCACAAUGGGCGAAAGCCUGAUGCAGCAACGCCGCGUGAGGGAUGACGGCCUUCGGGUUGUAAACCUCUUUUAGUAGGGAAGAAGCGAAAGUGACGGUACCUGCAGAAAAAGCACCGGCUAACUACGUGCCAGCAGCCGCGGUAAUACGUAGGGUGCAAGCGUUGUCCGGAAUUAUUGGGCGUAAAGAGCUCGUAGGCGGUUUGUCGCGUCUGCUGUGAAAUCCCGAGGCUCAACCUCGGGCUUGCAGUGGGUACGGGCAGACUAGAGUGCGGUAGGGGAGAUUGGAAUUCCUGGUGUAGCGGUGGAAUGCGCAGAUAUCAGGAGGAACACCGAUGGCGAAGGCAGAUCUCUGGGCCGUAACUGACGCUGAGGAGCGAAAGCAUGGGGAGCGAACAGGAUUAGAUACCCUGGUAGUCCAUGCCGUAAACGUUGGGCGCUAGAUGUAGGGACCUUUCCACGGUUUCUGUGUCGUAGCUAACGCAUUAAGCGCCCCGCCUGGGGAGUACGGCCGCAAGGCUAAAACUCAAAGGAAUUGACGGGGGCCCGCACAAGCGGCGGAGCAUGCGGAUUAAUUCGAUGCAACGCGAAGAACCUUACCAAGGCUUGACAUACACCGGAAACGGCCAGAGAUGGUCGCCCCCUUGUGGUCGGUGUACAGGUGGUGCAUGGUUGUCGUCAGCUCGUGUCGUGAGAUGUUGGGUUAAGUCCCGCAACGAGCGCAACCCUCGUUCUAUGUUGCCAGCGCGUUAUGGCGGGGACUCAUAGGAGACUGCCGGGGUCAACUCGGAGGAAGGUGGGGAUGACGUCAAAUCAUCAUGCCCCUUAUGUCUUGGGCUUCACGCAUGCUACAAUGGCCGGUACAAAGGGCUGCGAUACCGUAAGGUGGAGCGAAUCCCAAAAAGCCGGUCUCAGUUCGGAUUGAGGUCUGCAACUCGACCUCAUGAAGUCGGAGUCGCUAGUAAUCGCAGAUCAGCAACGCUGCGGUGAAUACGUUCCCGGGCCUUGUACACACCGCCCGUCAAGUCAUGAAAGUCGGUAACACCCGAAGCC
rnacentral:rRNA from 1 species